rnacentral:rRNA from 1 species
AGAGUUUGAUCCUGGCUCAGGAUGAACGCUGGCGGCGUGCCUAAUACAUGCAAGUCGAGCGAACGGACGAGAAGCUUGCUUCUCUGAUGUUAGCGGCGGACGGGUGAGUAACACGUGGAUAACCUACCUAUAAGACUGGGAUAACUUCGGGAAACCGGAGCUAAUACCGGAUAAUAUUUUGAACCGCAUGGUUCAAAAGUAAAAGACGGUCUUGCUGUCACUUAUAGAUGGAUCCGCGCUGCAUUAGCUAGUUGGUAAGGUAACGGCUUACCAAGGCAACGAUGCAUAGCCGACCUGAGAGGGUGAUCGGCCACACUGGAACUGAGACACGGUCCAGACUCCUACGGGAGGCAGCAGUAGGGAAUCUUCCGCAAUGGGCGAAAGCCUGACGGAGCAACGCCGCGUGAGUGAUGAAGGUCUUCGGAUCGUAAAACUCUGUUAUUAGGGAAGAACAUAUGUGUAAGUAACUGUGCACAUCUUGACGGUACCUAAUCAGAAAGCCACGGCUAACUACGUGCCAGCAGCCGCGGUAAUACGUAGGUGGCAAGCGUUAUCCGGAAUUAUUGGGCGUAAAGCGCGCGUAGGCGGUUUUUUAAGUCUGAUGUGAAAGCCCACGGCUCAACCGUGGAGGGUCAUUGGAAACUGGAAAACUUGAGUGCAGAAGAGGAAAGUGGAAUUCCAUGUGUAGCGGUGAAAUGCGCAGAGAUAUGGAGGAACACCAGUGGCGAAGGCGACUUUCUGGUCUGUAACUGACGCUGAUGUGCGAAAGCGUGGGGAUCAAACAGGAUUAGAUACCCUGGUAGUCCACGCCGUAAACGAUGAGUGCUAAGUGUUAGGGGGUUUCCGCCCCUUAGUGCUGCAGCUAACGCAUUAAGCACUCCGCCUGGGGAGUACGACCGCAAGGUUGAAACUCAAAGGAAUUGACGGGGACCCGCACAAGCGGUGGAGCAUGUGGUUUAAUUCGAAGCAACGCGAAGAACCUUACCAAAUCUUGACAUCCUUUGACAACUCUAGAGAUAGAGCCUUCCCCUUCGGGGGACAAAGUGACAGGUGGUGCAUGGUUGUCGUCAGCUCGUGUCGUGAGAUGUUGGGUUAAGUCCCGCAACGAGCGCAACCCUUAAGCUUAGUUGCCAUCAUUAAGUUGGGCACUCUAAGUUGACUGCCGGUGACAAACCGGAGGAAGGUGGGGAUGACGUCAAAUCAUCAUGCCCCUUAUGAUUUGGGCUACACACGUGCUACAAUGGACAAUACAAAGGGCAGCGAAACCGCGAGGUCAAGCAAAUCCCAUAAAGUUGUUCUCAGUUCGGAUUGUAGUCUGCAACUCGACUACAUGAAGCUGGAAUCGCUAGUAAUCGUAGAUCAGCAUGCUACGGUGAAUACGUUCCCGGGUCUUGUACACACCGCCCGUCACACCACGAGAGUUUGUAACACCCGAAGCCGGUGGAGUAACCUUUUAGGAGCUAGCCGUCGAAGGUGGGACAAAUGAUUGGGGUGAAGUCGUAACAAGGUAGCCGUAUCGGAAGGUGCGGCUGGA